rnacentral:rRNA from 1 species
AUUGAACGCUGGCGGCAGGCCUAACACAUGCAAGUCGAGCGGAUGAAGGGAGCUUGCUCCUGGAUUCAGCGGCGGACGGGUGAGUAAUGCCUAGGAAUCUGCCUUGCAGUGGGGGAUAACGUCCGGAAGCGGGCGCGAAUACCGCAUACGUCCAGAGGGAGAAAGUGGGGGAUCUUCGGACCUCACGCGAUCAGAUGAGCCUAGGUCGGAUUAGCUAGUUGGUGGGGUAAAGGCCUACCAAGGCGACGAUCCGUAACUGGUCUGAGAGGAUGAUCAGUCACACUGGAACUGAGACACGGUCCAGACUCCUACGGGAGGCAGCAGUGGGGAAUAUUGGACAAUGGGCGAAAGCCUGAUCCAGCCAUGCCGCGUGUGUGAAGAAGGUCUUCGGAUUGUAAAGCACUUUAAGUUGGGAGGAAGGGCAGUAAGUUAAUACCUUGCUGUUUUGACGUUACCAACAGAAUAAGCACCGGCUAACUUCGUG